AUUCUCCUCUCGUCUGCUGCCAUGGUGAGGCAUCCGCAGUCACGUGGAACUGUGAGUCCAUUAAACCUCUUUCUUUUGCAAAUUGCCCAGUCUAGGGUAUGUCUUCAUCAGCAGCUUGAGAACAGACUAAUACACACUUCUAGUCCUAAUUACUUGGAAGACUGAGAUGGGAGGAUUGCUUGAGCCCAGGAGUCUGAGGAUGCAGUGAGCUGUGAUUAUGUCACUGCACUCCAGCCUGAUCAAGACCCUGUCUCC
rnacentral:lncRNA from 1 species